GGAGGGAUACCCAAGUGGCCAAAGGGGGCAGACUGUAAAUCUGUUGGCUCAGCCUUCGGUGGUUCGAAUCCACCUCCCUCCACCA
rnacentral:tRNA from 1 species